rnacentral:rRNA from 1 species
UACGUAGGAUGCUAGCGUUGUCCGGAUUUACUGGGCGUAAAGCGCGCGCAGGCGGCACUGUAAGUAAGGUGUGAAAUAUCCCUGCUCAACGGGGAGGGUGCACUUUAGACUGCAGAGCUAGAGGACGGUAGAGGGGGGUGGAAUUGCUGGUGUAGCGGUGAAAUGCGUAGAGAUCAGCAGGAACACCCGUGGCGAAGGCGGCCCCCUGGGCCGAACCUGACGCUGAGGAGCGAAAGCAUGGGGAGCGAACAGG